AGACCCGAAACCCGGUGAUCUAGCCAUGGGCAGGUUGAAGGUUGGGUAACACUAACUGGAGGACCGAACCGACUAAUGUUGAAAAAUUAGCGGAUGACCUGUGGCUGGGGGUGAAAGGCCAAUCAAACCGGGAGAUAGCUGGUUCUCCCCGAAAGCUAUUUAGGUAGCGCCUCGUGAAUUCAUCUCCGGGGGUAGAGCACUGUUUCGGCUAGGGGGCCAUCCCGGCUUACCAACCCGAUGCAAACUGCGAAUACCGGAGAAUGUUAUCACGGGAGACACACGGCGGGUGCUAACGUCCGUCGUGAAGAGGGAAACAACCCAGACCGCCAGCUAAGGUCCCAAAGUCAUGGUUAAGUGGGAAACGAUGUGGGAAGGCCCAGACAGCCAGGAUGUUGGCUUAGAAGCAGCCAUCAUUUAAAGAAAGCGUAAUAGCUCACUGGUCGAGUCGGCCUGCGCGGAAGAUGUAACGGGGCUAAACCAUGCACCGAAGCUGCGGCAGCGAACGUAUCACCCAAGACAACUUUACGGAGUUGACGAUUGACGGAGCGAAGCGACGUCAAAGCGUUCAUUAAAGUCGAGUUGGCUUAGGGAUACGUUCGUUGGGUAGGGGAGCGUUCUGUAAGCCUGUGAAGGUGUGUCGUGAGGCAUGCUGGAGGUAUCAGAAGUGCGAAUGCUGACAUAAGUAACGAUAAAGCGGGUGAAAAGCCCGCUCGCCGGAAGACCAAGGGUUCCUGUCCAACGUUAAUCGGGGCAGGGUGAGUCGACCCCUAAGGCGAGGCCGAAAGGCGUAGUCGAUGGGAAACGGGUUAAUAUUCCCGUACUUGGUGUUACUGCGAAGGGGGGACGGAGAAGGCUAUGUUGGCCGGGCGACGGUUGUCCCGGUUUAAGCGUGUAGGUGUGUGUUCCAGGUAAAUCCGGUUCACUUUAACACUGAGGCGUGAUGACGAGGCACUACGGUGCUGAAGCAACAAAUGCCCUGCUUCCAGGAAAAGCCUCUAAGCAUCAGGUAACAUCAAAUCGUACCCCAAACCGACACAGGUGGUCAGGUAGAGAAUACCAAGGCGCUUGAGAGAACUCGGGUGAAGGAACUAGGCAAAAUGGUGCCGUAACUUCGGGAGAAGGCACGCUGACACGUAGGUGAAGUGAUUUACUCACGGAGCUGAAGUCAGUCGAAGAUACCAGCUGGCUGCAACUGUUUAUUAAAAACACAGCACUGUGCAAACACGAAAGUGGACGUAUACGGUGUGACGCCUGCCCGGUGCCGGAAGGUUAAUUGAUGGGGUCAGCGCAAGCGAAGCUCCUGAUCGAAGCCCCGGUAAACGGCGGCCGUAACUAUAACGGUCCUAAGGUAGCGAAAUUCCUUGUCGGGUAAGUUCCGACCUGCACGAAUGGCGUAAUGAUGGCCAGGCUGUCUCCACCCGAGACUCAGUGAAAUUGAACUCGCUGUGAAGAUGCAGUGUACCCGCGGCAAGACGGAAAGACCCCGUGAACCUUUACUAUAGCUUGACACUGAACAUUGAGCCUUGAUGUGUAGGAUAGGUGGGAGGCUUUGAAGUGUGGACGCCAGUCUGCAUGGAGCCGACCUUGAAAUACCACCCUUUAAUGUUUGAUGUUCUAACGUGGACCCGUAAUCCGGGUUGCGGACAGUGUCUGGUGGGUAGUUUGACUGGGGCGGUCUCCUCCUAAAGAGUAACGGAGGAGCACGAAGGUUGGCUAAUCCUGGUCGGACAUCAGGAGGUUAGUGCAAUGGCAUAAGCCAGCUUGACUGCGAGCGUGACGGCGCGAGCAGGUGCGAAAGCAGGUCAUAGUGAUCCGGUGGUUCUGAAUGGAAGGGCCAUCGCUCAACGGAUAAAAGGUACUCCGGGGAUAACAGGCUGAUACCGCCCAAGAGUUCAUAUCGACGGCGGUGUUUGGCACCUCGAUGUCGGCUCAUCACAUCCUGGGGCUGAAGUAGGUCCCAAGGGUAUGGCUGUUCGCCAUUUAAAGUGGUACGCGAGCUGGGUUUAGAACGUCGUGAGACAGUUCGGUCCCUAUCUGCCGUGGGCGCUGGAGAACUGAGGGGGGCUGCUCCUAGUACGAGAGGACCGGAGUGGACGCAUCACUGGUGUUCGGGUUGUCAUGCCAAUGGCACUGCCCGGUAGCUAAAUGCGGAAGAGAUAAGUGCUGAAAGCAUCUAAGCACGAAACUUGCCCCGA
rnacentral:rRNA from 2 species